CUCGGGUGGGGGGGGGUCCCUCAGCCCGGAUCGUGAGAGGGUGCAGGCCAGGCCAAGGGACCCCACUGGUGCACG
rnacentral:pre_miRNA from 1 species